rnacentral:rRNA from 1 species
CGCCUCUUGCAAUCCAAGUAUAAGAGGUCCCGCCUGCCCUGUGACCUUGUGUUUAACGGCCGCGGUAUUCUGACCGUGCGAAGGUAGCGCAAUCACUUGUCUUUUAAAUGAAGACCUGUAUGAAUGGCACGACGAGGGCUUAGCUGUCUCCUUCUCCCAGUCAAUGAAAUUGAUCUCCCCGUGCAGAAGCGGGGAUUAACCCAUAAGACGAGAAGACCCUAUGGAGCUUUAGACAAAAGGCAGACCACGUUUAACCCACCUCUUCUAUAGGACUAAACACAGUGCCCCCUGACCUUAAUGUCUUUGGUUGGGGCGACCGCGGAGGAAAACUAAGCCUCCAUGUGGACCGGGAGAACCCACUCCUAAAGUCAAGAGCCACAGCUCUAAGCAACAGAACUUCUGACCAAAAAUGAUCCGGUAACACCGAUCAACGAACCAAGUUACCCUAGGGAUAACAGCGCAAUCCCCUCCCAGAGUCCCUAUCGACAAGGGGGUUUACGACCUCGAUGUUGGAUCAGGACAUCCUAAUGGUGCAACCGCUAUUAAGGGUUCGUUUGUUCAACGAUUAAAGUCCU